AUGAGGCGCGGAAAGGAAGGCCCCGAAAGGUGUCAAGACCGCCUCCCGAGUUCCGCGCUCAGGCCGCCGCCGCUGUCUGGGAAAAGAGCCAGUGAAGAGGGGCCUGACGGUAAAGCCAGGUAUGUAUGGGCAGCCCGCUGGAGACGUCUGGCGGUGGUGCGUGCACACGGGUCUGCCGGCGCCGGAGAGCCGCUGGGACCCGCAGAGAACCGGCCGCGCUCCCGGGGCUCCCGCACGCGGCUUCCCGCAGGACGGCGGGCAACAGGACGUCAACAAAGCGCACGCGGCCAGCUCCGGGAUGGAGGGUGCGCCGGGGGCCUUAGGCCCUGGCGCGGCCCCGGAGCGGAGGUGCGGCCCGGUGCCCCUCGGGUCCCCCGGCCAGGGCGCCGCAAACGGUCGCAAGGCGGCAGCGAGCCACCACCGGCCGGAGCUGCACGGGGGGAGCGCGGGGGCGCAGGGCUCGGCUGGGGCUCAUCCACCGGCCGCGCCAGGCGCCCCGGGAGCCCGGGCCCGCUCUCCCGACCGCAGGUAUCUCCUCCGGGGCCUGCCAGGGUCACCCGGCCAAAUUCGCUUCACCGCGCCGGGAGGGAGCUGAUCCUCGCCUCUGGCCCACCGGCCAAUCGUAGAACAACUGUGUCGAUUGACAGGCCCUCCGAGCCAACCACUAGCGACCGUGGGCGGGACUCAGCGAGCCCUUGGCGGAGAAGCCCGCGCAAACGGUUGCUAGGGACGCACCGGACUCCCUUUACGGCGCCUCGGAGGAACCAAAAGAGACGGCGCCUCCGCCCUCCAGGUCGGACCGACUCCGUUUCCUCCGGUCUCCGAAUCCCGAAGGGUGAGCAGCGCGCUGCUCCCCUCUCUGAGGCCUCGAAGGCGGGGGGCGCAAGGAGGCUCCCUCACGGCCAGGCACGCCCGCAGGGCCGAGGGGCCGACGGAGGCUGCGGCCCGCAGUGGCCUGGGUCGACGUCCUGGACGCCGAUGGGCUGUCCCCGCACCUGCGGACGGAGUUGGCCCCCGGUGCCCCGGCCCCUGGCCUCGGCUCCGACCCCGGCACGAGCGCGGACGCCCAGCGCUGAGCGUUAA
rnacentral:lncRNA from 1 species